GAUGAACGCUGGCGGCGUGCCUAAUACAUGCAAGUCGAGCGAACAGACAAGGAGCUUGCUCCUCUGACGUUAGCGGCGGACGGGUGAGUAACACGUGGAUAACCUACCUAUAAGACUGGGAUAACUUCGGGAAACCGGAGCUAAUACCGGAUAAUAUAUUGAACCGCAUGGUUCAAUAGUGAAAGACGGUUUUGCUGUCACUUAUAGAUGGAUCCGCGCCGCAUUAGCUAGUUGGUAAGGUAACGGUUUACCAAGGCAACGAUGCGUAGCCGACCUGAGAGGGUGAUCGGCCACACUGGAACUGAGACACGGUCCAGACUCCUACGGGAGGCAGCAGUAGGGAAUCUUCCGCAAUGGGCGAAAGCCUGACGGAGCAACGCCGCGUGAGUGAUGAAGGUCUUCGGAUCGUAAAACUCUGUUAUUAGGGAAGAACAAAUGUGUAAGUAACUAUGCACGUCUUGACGGUACCUAAUCAGAAAGCCACGGCUAACUACGUG
rnacentral:rRNA from 1 species